rnacentral:rRNA from 1 species
CCUACGGGUGGCAGCAGUAGGGAAUCUUCCGCAAUGGACGAAAGUCUGACGGAGCAACGCCGCGUGAGUGAAGAAGGCCUUCGGGUCGUAAAGCUCUGUUGUUAGGGAAGAACAAGUAACGCAGUAACUGGCGUUACCGUGACGGUACCUAACCAGAAAGCCACGGCUAACUACGUGCCAGCAGCCGCGGUAAUACGUAGGUGGCAAGCGUUGUCCGGAAUUAUUGGGCGUAAAGCGCGCGCAGGCGGUUCCUUAAGUCUGAUGUGAAAGCCCACGGCUCAACCGUGGAGGGUCAUUGGAAACUGGGGGACUUGAGUGCAGAAGAGGAGAGUGGAAUUCCACGUGUAGCGGUGAAAUGCGUAGAGAUGUGGAGGAACACCAGUGGCGAAGGCGGCUCUCUGGUCUGUAACUGACGCUGAGGCGCGAAAGCGUGGGGAGCAAACAGGAUUAGAUACCCCUGUAGUC